GCUCAGGUGGUGCAAUGGUUAAGUGUUCAGCUGCUAACUGAAAGGUUGGUGGUUUGAACCCACCCAGCAGCA
rnacentral:tRNA from 1 species